rnacentral:rRNA from 1 species
UACGGGGGGGGCAAGCGUUGUUCGGAAUUACUGGGCGUAAAGGGCUCGUAGGCGGCCAACUAAGUCGGACGUGAAAUCCCUCGGCUUAACCGGGGAACUGCGUCUGAUACUGGAUGGCUUGAAUCCGGGAGAGGGAUGCGGAAUUCCAGGUGUAGCGGUGAAAUGCGUAGAUAUCAGGAGGAACACCGGUGGCGAAGGCGGGUCUCUGGGCCGUAACUGACGCUGAGGAGCGAAAGCGUGGGGAGCGAACAGG